UGACCUCGGAUCAGGUAGGGAUACCCGCUGAACUUAAGCAUAUCAAUAAGCGGAGGAAAAGAAACCAACCGGGAUUGCCUCAGUAACGGCGAGUGAAGCGGCAAGAGCUCAAAUUUGAAAGCUGGCUCCUUCGGGGUCCGCAUUGUAAUUUGCAGAGGAUGCUUCGGGUGCGGCCCCUGUCUAAGUGCCCUGGAACGGGCCGUCAGAGAGGGUGAGAAUCCCGUCUGGGAUGGGGUGUCCGCGCCCGUGUGAAGCUCCUUCGACGAGUCGAGUUGUUUGGGAAUGCAGCUCUAAAUGGGUGGUAAAUUUCAUCUAAAGCUAAAUACUGGCCGGAGACCGAUAGCGCACAAGUAGAGUGAUCGAAAGAUGAAAAGCACUUUGAAAAGAGAGUUAAAAAGCACGUGAAAUUGUUGAAAGGGAAGCGCUUGCGACCAGACUCGCCUCCAGGGUUCAGCCGGCAUUCGUGCCGGUGUACUUCCCUGGGGGCGGGCCAGCGUCGGUUUGGGCGGCCGGUCAAAGGCUCCCGGAAUGUAGUGCCCUCCGGGGCACCUUAUAGCCGGGAGUGCAAUGCGGCCAGCCUGGACCGAAGGAACGCGCUUCGGCACGGACGCUGGCAUAAUGGUCGUAAACGACC
rnacentral:rRNA from 1 species